CUUAACACAUGCAAGUCGAGGGGCAGCAUGGUCUUAUCUUGCUAAGGCCGAUGGCGACCGGCGCACGGGUGAGUAACACGUAUCCAACCUGCCGUCUACUCUUGGACAGCCUUCUGAAAGGAGGAUUAAUAUAAGAUGGCAUCAUGAGUCCGCAUGUUCACAUGAUUAAAGGUAUUCCGGUAGACGAUGGGGAUGCGUUCCAUUAGAUAGUAGGCGGGGUAACGGCCCACCUAGUCUUCGAUGGAUAGGGGUUCUGAGAGGAAGGUCCCCCACAUUGGAACUGAGACACGGUCCAAACUCCUACGGGAGGCAGCAGUGAGGAAUAUUGGUCAAUGGGCGAGAGCCUGAACCAGCCAAGUAGCGUGAAGGAUGACUGCCCUAUGGGUUGUAAACUUCUUUUAUAAAGGAAUAAAGUCGGGUAUGGAUACCCGUUUGCAUGUACUUUAUGAAUAAGGAUCGGCUAACUCCGUGCCAGCAGCCGCGGUAAUACGGAGGAUCCGAGCGUUAUCCGGAUUUAUUGGGUUUAAAGGGAGCGUAGAUGGAUGUUUAAGUCAGUUGUGAAAGUUUGCGGCUCAACCGUAAAAUUGCAGUUGAUACUGGAUAUCUUGAGUGCAGUUGAGGCAGGCGGAAUUCGUGGUGUAGCGGUGAAAUGCUUAGAUAUCACGAAGAACUCCGAUUGCGAAGGCAGCCUGCUAAGCUGCAACUGACAUUGAGGCUCGAAAGUGUGGGUAUCAAACAGGAUUAGAUACCCUGGUAGUCCACACGGUAAACGAUGAAUACUCGCUGUUUGCGAUAUACUGCAAGCGGCCAAGCGAAAGCGUUAAGUAUUCCACCUGGGGAGUACGCCGGCAACGGUGAAACUCAAAGGAAUUGACGGGGGCCCGCACAAGCGGAGGAACAUGUGGUUUAAUUCGAUGAUACGCGAGGAACCUUACCCGGGCUUAAAUUGCAGAUGAAUUACGGUGAAAGCCGUAAGCCGCAAGGCAUCUGUGAAGGUGCUGCAUGGUUGUCGUCAGCUCGUGCCGUGAGGUGUCGGCUUAAGUGCCAUAACGAGCGCAACCCUUGUUGUCAGUUACUAACAGGUUCCGCUGAGGACUCUGACAAGACUGCCAUCGUAAGAUGUGAGGAAGGUGGGGAUGACGUCAAAUCAGCACGGCCCUUACGUCCGGGGCUACACACGUGUUACAAUGGGGGGUACAGAGGGCCGCUACCACGCGAGUGGAUGCCAAUCCCCAAAACCUCUCUCAGUUCGGACUGGAGUCUGCAACCCGACUCCACGAAGCUGGAUUCGCUAGUAAUCGCGCAUCAGCCACGGCGCGGUGAAUACGUUCCCGGGCCUUGUACACACCGCCCGUCAAGCCAUGGGAGCCGGGGGUACCUGAAGUGCAUAACCGCGAGGAGCGCCCUAGGGUAAAACUGGUGACUG
rnacentral:rRNA from 1 species